UUGAACGCUGGCGGCAUGCCUUACACAUGCAAGUCGAACGGCAGCACGGGAGCAAUCCUGGUGGCGAGUGGCGAACGGGUGAGUAAUAUAUCGGAACGUGCCCAGUCGUGGGGGAUAACGUAGCGAAAGCUACGCUAAUACCGCAUACGAUCUAUGGAUGAAAGCGGGGGAUCGCAAGACCUCGCGCGAUUGGAGCGGCCGAUAUCAGAUUAGGUAGUUGGUGAGGUAAAGGCUCACCAAGCCGACGAUCUGUAGCUGGUCUGAGAGGACGACCAGCCACACUGGGACUGAGACACGGCCCAGACUCCUACGGGAGGCAGCAGUGGGGAAUAUUGGACAAUGGGCGAAAGCCUGAUCCAGCCAUGCCGCGUGUGUGAAGAAGGUCUUCGGAUUGUAAAGCACUUUAAGUUGGGAGGAAGGGCAGUAAGUUAAUACCUUGCUGUUUUGACGUUACCAACAGAAUAAGCACCGGCUAACUCUGUG
rnacentral:rRNA from 1 species